UACGUAGGUGACAAGCGUUGUCCGGAUUUACUGGGCGUAAAGAGCGCGCAGGCGGUCGUUCAAGUCGAGUGUGAAAGCCCCCGGCUCAACUGGGGAGGGUCAUUCGAAACUGGUCGACUCGAAGGCAGGAGAGGUAGUGGAAUUCCCGGUGUAGUGGUGAAAUGCGUAGAUAUCGGGAGGAACACCAGUGGCGAAGGCGACUACCUGGCCUGUUCUUGACGCUGAGGCGCGAAAGCUAGGGGAGCAAACGGG
rnacentral:rRNA from 1 species